GAACAGCUGGCUGAGAUUUGCAUUGAAAAAGUAGCCUUUAUAUGUAUAUUCCAAGAACCAUUGCCUGGCUUAACCAUUUGAGUGGUGGCUUCUAGGGCGACAAGUUUUGAGCAAAUGAACAUCUUAAUCGGAGUACUGAGUUCCUUCCUGCUCGCCCCAAUCUUGCUGGCCAGCGGGCAGACAGGGGAGUGUGACUUUAGACAGGCGGUUGAUACUGGACAAUCGUUCUAUUUCCGAUCCCCCAGGUAUCCCGAAAAAUACACACCAGGCACCAAAUGCCAGAUGCAAGCUACCAGCUCUUUCGCUAAUAACAAAUUGAUCCUAACCUGCCAAAUUGACAUUCCAAGGGAUGUAAGUGCCCGCGAAAUAGCCUCCACUAUUUGGUGAUAAUUUUCAUUUUAUUUAUUAGCCAAAUGGAUGCAUCAAUAACAAAUUCGUUGUCAAGAGGUACCACGGUGAUGGGGUGCUGCAGAGUACGAAUACCUACUGUGGCAAGAGGCAACUAUCCGAGACUAGCUACUCUCGAACCAACUACGCCCAAAUCCAUGUUGAUUUUAGCUCUUCGGGGAGUAAAACCGGCAGAUUCUCCUGCACACUCUCGGCUUCAAAUUAAGGGAACACACAUAAAGCUGCAUGUGAUCCAACUCACGGCAAAUGCUCUUGGAUAACAUGAAGGAAGCGACGUACAACUGGUAAUAUUCUCUGAUCGCCUAGCCUACCUGGAGUUGGAGUCCUAGCAUCCGUUAACAGUACCAGAACCACAAAGCUCUGUUUCUAUUUUCUAUUACUUAUAAUUUUGUUUAGUUAACCAACGGCUCGGAGACUGUUAAAUUCAAAGCUUUUAUCAGUGUAUUAUAUAAAACACAAGGAAUUAAAGUGGCAUCAAAGCGGUUUGUGUGCAAAAUAUGUUGUUUUUGGUUUAAAUAGUUAUAGCUAUCGAUAAAUAUUUUAAAUAGUUACAGUUUUUGGGAGACUGGACAUCUUUCAGCAACAUGCAACCAAAAUGGAGCAACAUUUCAAUUACCCUGGAAUAUGCAGAUGUUGGAUCAUUGGGCGAUGUUUUCUAUAGCCACAAAAUGUAACAUAUAAGAGACCGAGAAAAGGUCUCUGGAGCGAUACAUGAACAUUUUAGAAUUAAAUGCAUGAAUCUGCACUAAACGCAUGAUUAUUAAAUUGAGAAGCAGCUUAUAAAACAUGAGACUCAACAUAAAUUAGAGCAAAAAGGGUACAUAAAAGAUCGACACUCAACAAUAGCCAGUACAGGAACCGGUUUGCUGGCAACAUGAGUACAGCAACAUGCGAGUGGAAUUGGGCAACAUGACCGAUCGUGUCUUGAGUGAAUUAAGUUUUGAGUGUUUCUUUUGAAACUCAACGAAUAUCUAGAAUCCAAGUGAUCUUAAUUUAAGAUUUUUAGAGUUGCAAAUGUUUAUUUUAUUAUGCUUAUAUUUAUUUUAUGUGUGUGUACUUAAAGUAAAGAAGUUGUUU
rnacentral:lncRNA from 1 species